AAUAUGGCUCCUAUGUGGCUCAGUUGGUAGAGCAUGGCGCUUGUAACGCCAGGGUAGUGGGUUCGAUUCCCGGGACCACCCAUACGUAGAAUGUAUGCACACAUGACUGUAAGUCGCUUUGGAUAAAAGCGUCAGCUAAAUGGCAUAUAUUACAACACAUUACUGAGUACCACUCUCCUAUACAACAUAUUACUGAGUACCACUCUCCAAUACAACAUAUUACUGAGUACCACUCUCCAAUACAACAUAUUACUGAGCACCACGCUCCAUAGUGGUUGCUGCAUCAUACUGGUUGCUGUUCCUGAGUUGCAGUUUUAACUGAAAUUUACUUGAAAAUCAUACCAAAUAUGACAUUGAUUGUUUCUGAGUGGCCUAGUAACACUUUUGACUUAAAUCGGCUUGAAAAUCUAUUGCAAGACCUGAAAAUGUAUACUAAUGACCAACAACCAAUUUGACAGAGCUUGAAGAAUUAUUUGCACAUAGCAGGUGUGGAAAGCUCUUAGAGACGUACCCAGAAAGACGCACAGCUGUAAUCACUGCCAAAGGUGCUUCUGCAAAGUAUUGACCCAGGAGUGUGAAAACGUAUUGUAAAUUAAAUAUUUCUGUAUUUCAUUUUUAAUAAAUGUGCAAACAUUUCUUAGAACAUAUUUUCCCUUGUUGAUUAUGGGGUAUUGUGUGUAGAUAGCUGAGGAAAAAACUAAUGUCAUCCAUUUUGAAUUCAGGAUGUAACAAAAUGUGGAAUAAGUUAAUGGGUAUGAAUACUUUACGAAGGCACUGGAAGAGCUAUAAUCAUGGGAGGGGCUCUGUCUCACAGUAGAGGACAUGGUGUUGAUGAACUGUGUUUACCUUGGCUAACUGACUCCUACUGUUGCUGUUACUGUGUGGGAGGGGGAGAGGGGGAGGGGAAGGGUGUGGACUGACUUCCUAGGCAACACUAACCUUUCGACAAACACGCUGAAAACACGUUGGCUCACUAUUUACAAAGAGGAUGGAGAACUAUAGGAUGAAACAUACCAGAGUUUUACCAAACCAGAGUUUUACCAGACUAGCUGUCGCGAACGCUACUUAAAAAAAAAAACACAAAUUGAUGCUUUGUGUCAAAGUAUCUAUAUAAUAUCCUCCAAAAAUAACAUUGCGACUAACUAUUACUGUAACUGCAUUCUCCCAUCACUAGCUUGGAUCUGUACCUUGUCCACGCUGCAGGGUGGGAGGUGAGGGGUUAAAGACUAGUCCACGCUGCAGGGCGGGAGGUGAGGGGUUAAAGACUAGUCCACGCUGCAGGGUGGGAGGUGAGGGGUUAAAGACUAGUCCACGCUGCAGGGUGGGAGGUGAGGGGUUAAAGACUAGUCCACGCUGCAGGGUGGGAGGUGAGGGGUUAAAGACUAGUCCACGCUGCAGGGUGGGAGGUGAGGGGUUAAAGACUAGUCCACGCUGCAGGGUGGGAGGUGAGGGGUUAAAGACUAGUCCACGCUGCAGGGUGGGAGGUGAGGGGUUAAAGACUAGUCCACGCUGCAGGGUGGGAGGUGAGGGGUUAAAGACUAGUCCACGCUGCAGGGUGGGAGGUGAGGGGUUAAAGACUAGUCCACGCUGCAGGGUGGGAGGUGAGGGGUUAAAGACUAGUCCACGCUGCAGGGUGGGAGG